rnacentral:misc_RNA from 1 species
AGCAGCCGCGGUAAUUCCAGCUCCAAUAGCGUAUAUUAAAGUUGUUGCAGUUAAAAAGCUCGUAGUUGAAUUUCGGGGUUAGCAGGUCGGUCGUGCCAUCGGUAUGAACUGGUCUCGCUGAUCCCUCCCUCUUGACGAACUGUGAUGCCAUUAAUUUGGUGUCGCAGGGAAUCAGGACUGUUACUUUGAAAAAAUUAGAGUGUUUAAAGCAGGCUCACGCUUGAAUACAUUAGCAUGGAAUAAUGAAAUAGGACGUUUGAUCCUAUUUUGUUGGCUUCUAGGAUUGACGUAAUGAUUAAUAGGGAUAGUUGGGGGCAUUAGUAUUCAAUUGUCAGAGGUGAAAUUCUUGGAUUUAUUGAAGACUAACUACUGCGAAAGCAUUUGCCAAGGAUGUUUUCAUUAAUCAAGAACGAAAGUUAGGGGAUCGAAGACGAUCAGAUACCGUCGUAGUCUUAACCAUAAACUAUGCCGACUAGGGAUCGGAUGAUGUUAAUUUUUUUCAAUGACUCAUUCGGUGCCU